rnacentral:rRNA from 1 species
UACGAAGGGGGCUAGCGUUGCUCGGAAUCACUGGGCGUAAAGCGCACGUAGGCGGAUCUUUAAGUCAGGGGUGAAAUCCCAAGGCUCAACCUUGGAACUGCCCUUGAUACUGGGGAUCUCGAGUCCGGAAGAGGUUGGUGGAACUCCGAGUGUAGAGGUGAAAUUCGUAGAUAUUCGGAAGAACACCGGUGGCGAAGGCGGUUCUCUGGGCAUUACCUGACGCUGAGGAGCGAAAGUGUGGGGAGCGAACAGG